rnacentral:rRNA from 1 species
GAUGAACGCUAGCGGCAGGCUUAACACAUGCAAGUCGAGGGGUAACAGGGAGGAGCUUGCUUUUCCGCUGACGACCGGCGCACGGGUGCGUAACGCGUAUAGAACCUACCUUUUACAGGGGAAUAGCCCAGAGAAAUUUGGAUUAAUGCCCCAUAGUAUUAUUGAAUGGCAUCAUUUAAUAAUUAAACAUUUAUGGGUAAAAGAUGGCUAUGCGUUCUAUUAGCUAGAUGGUAAGGUAACGGCUUACCAUGGCAACGAUAGAUAGGGGUCCUGAGAGGGAGAUCCCCCACACUGGUACUGAGACACGGACCAGACUCCUACGGGAGGCAGCAGUGAGGAAUAUUGGACAAUGGAGGCAACUCUGAUCCAGCCAUGCCGCGUGCAGGAAGACGGUCCUAUGGAUUGUAAACUGCUUUUAUAUAGGAAGAAACCUUUCCACGUGUGGAAAGCUGACGGUACUAUAAGAAUAAGCACCGGCUAACUCCGUGCCAGCAGCCGCGGUAAUACGGAGGGUGCAAGCGUUAUCCGGAAUCAUUGGGUUUAAAGGGUCCGUAGGCGGACUAAUAAGUCAGGGGUGAAAUCCAACAGCUUAACUGUUGAACUGCCUUUGAUACUGUUAGUCUUGAGUUAUAUGGAAGUAGAUAGAAUAUGUAGUGUAGC